rnacentral:rRNA from 1 species
UACAGGGGGUGCUAGCGUUGUUCGGAAUUACUGGGCGUAAAGCGCGUGUAGGCGGUUGUCCAAGUCGGGUGUGAAAGCCUUGAGCUCAACUCAAGAAAUGCACUCGAUACUGGGUGACUUGAGGACCGGAGAGGAUAGUGGAAUUCCCAGUGUAGUGGUGAAAUACGUAGAGAUUGGGAAGAACACCAGUGGCGAAGGCGGCUCACUGGCUCAUAUCUGACGCUCAGGCGCGACAGCGUGGGGAUCAAACAGG